rnacentral:lncRNA from 1 species
UAUAUAUAAAAAAAAACGUAAGGUUGUUUUAUAUAUAUAAAACAACCUUACGUUUUUUUUUAUUAUAUAAUUUUCUUUUUUUAUAUAAUAUCAUUUUCCUCAAAAGGUUUCGAUUAGAAAAGGAUGACAGGUGCAUCAUAUUGGAGUGGUACUACAGGAAGGAGAUAAGGCAUACUUAAGAUUGGCUCUUGUGGGUCCACUGACUCCUUCAGGAGACGGGCACAUUUUCAGUGGCUUGACACUAAGUGUUUAAAUAAAGGGUGCUGUGGUAUACAAUACUUGAGUACCUCACGUGUGUUUUCACUAACCUUAUAGAAAUGUUCACUUUUGAUUGAUAAUUUGUUUUUCACAGGUGUCGCUACAUGGAGCAGGUUUUCUGAGUCCUAAAGAAAAUAAUUCUACACCAUGUACUCCAUGGACACCUGUCGUGAAUGUGGAAUGCUUUUCAAAAACUGCACACCUGGUAAACAUCUUAACACUGGAUGGAUUUGAAUCUAUGUCAUUAUACUCAGUAUUGAUGUCAUAACUACGCUUAGACCACAUCCUGAGUCUAGUGGUCACUGGUCAGUAUAAUCAUCAUUCUGUUUUUUCUUUUUCUUUUACAGGAUAUGUUAGAACAGGACAAAGGGGUGUACUUGAAGCAGUUUACUCAGAAGACCCACAUCCAGGUUACUGCGAUCACUUUAGCCACCAAAUGCAAUAGUGAGAACGGACACGUAUACUAACUGUUGGCAGACAACCCUGAGCCAGCUGGGUGUUUUUCAAGCUGCAGGCCCCCGUGACAAUUUGUGGCUGGAAACUUGGGAUUGAAUUUUGAAUUCUCCAGUGUUAUUACAGACUGUUAAUUAAUUGGUUAUGACAAAAAAGAGAUGUCAUAUGUUUAAACAACCUUUGGGUGAACUUUUUGUAUAAUUUUAAAAAUGUUAAAACUAACAUCUAUUGAGAGUCUACUUUAUGCUUUUUUGGUUUUAAUAACAUCCUGUUCAAUGUGGAAUAAAAUUCAAAUCCUCUGAAUAUUGAGUCCAUUUCUGAACACUGGGGAGAUCGUGUGUACAACUGGUGAUCCGGUUUAUUGAAUGCAUUGCACCAAUAUGAUUUCUACCCAGUGCUGUACAUUUAUCAUUUGUUAAUAUAAUAAGACAGACAGUCUGACAUUUCCAUACCCACAGGAUUAAAGGGCCUACAUCUACGUACAGAUACUGAUCAGCAUAAAGUCCUUUGGAAUCACAUGUAAACUGCAGUAGAGGAUUUUUCUUUCAGUGCUUCGACCCAGAGAGAGCCUUCUAGUCCUCUUGUGACCAGCCCACUGUGACAGUACUGUCACAUAGUACAUAACUUACAUCCACAUCCACUUAUUAAGACUUAUUAUUUAUUGUCAUGUGUUUUUGCUUACUUCUAAAUAAAUAGUUUUGUUGUUUGCAGUUCAAUUUAUUAUACAUUAGCAAAUACAAAAACUAAUCCAAUACAACAUGAAC